AGUGAACGCUGGCGGUAGGCCUAACACAUGCAAGUCGAACGGCAGCACAGUAAGAGCUUGCUCUUACGGGUGGCGAGUGGCGGACGGGUGAGGAAUACAUCGGAAUCUACUUUUUCGUGGGGGAUAACGUAGGGACACUUACGCUAAUACCGCAUACGACCUACGGGUGAAAGCAGGGGAUCUUCGGACCUUGCGCGAUUGAAUGAGCCGAUGUCGGAUUAGCUAGUUGGCGGGGUAAAGGCCCACCAAGGCGACGAUCCGUAGCUGGUCUGAGAGGAUGAUCAGCCACACUGGAACUGAGACACGGUCCAGACUCCUACGGGAGGCAGCAGUGGGGAAUAUUGGACAAAGGGCGCAAGCCUGAUCCAGCAAUGCCGCGUGGGUGAAGAAGGCCUUCGGGUUGUAAAGCCCUUUUGUUGGGAAAGAAAAGAAGCAGGUUAAUACCCCGCUGUUCUGACGGUACCCAAAGAAUAAGCACCGGCUAACUUCGUG
rnacentral:rRNA from 1 species